UACGGAGGGUGCAAGCGUUAUCCGGAAUGAUUGGGCGUAAAGGGUCCGCAGGUGGCAGUGUAAGUCUGCUGUCAAAGAAUGAGGCUUAACCUUAUCAAGGCAGUGGAAACUACACAGCUAGAGUACGGUCGGGGUAGAAGGAAUUCCUGGUGUAGCGGUGAAAUGCGUAGAGAUCAGGAAGAACACCGGUGGCGAAAGCGUUCUGCUAGACCUGUACUGACACUGAGGGACGAAAGCUAGGGGAGCGAAUGGG
rnacentral:rRNA from 1 species